GACGAACGCUGGCGGCGUGCCUAAUACAUGCAAGUUGAGCGCUGAAGGUUGGUACUUGUACCAACUGGAUGAGCAGCGAACGGGUGAGUAACGCGUGGGGAAUCUGCCUUUGAGCGGGGGACAACAUUUGGAAACGAAUGCUAAUACCGCAUAAAAACUUUAAACACAAGUUUUAAGUUUGAAAGAUGCAAUUGCAUCACUCAAAGAUGAUCCCGCGUUGUAUUAGCUAGUUGGUGAGGUAAAGGCUCACCAAGGCGAUGAUACAUAGCCGACCUGAGAGGGUGAUCGGCCACAUUGGGACUGAGACACGGCCCAAACUCCUACGGGAGGCAGCAGUAGGGGAUCUUCGGCGAUGGACGAAAGUCUGACCGAGCAACGCCGCGUGAGUGAAGAAGGUUUUCGGAUCGUAAAACUCUGUUGGUAGAGAAGAACGUUGGUGAGAGUGGAAAGCUCAUCAAGUGACGGUAACUACCCAGAAAGGGACGGCUAACUACGUG
rnacentral:rRNA from 1 species